rnacentral:lncRNA from 1 species
AUGCGCGUCCUUUCAUGUCAGUCCCCUGUGCUAUUAUGCUCUUCUGAGCACAGCAUUAAACAUUUUAUUGAGUGUAAAUCUCGUUGCAUCAAAAUCACUGCAGUGGUCAAUGAAAUUUAUAAUCUCAUUAAAAGUAUUGGAUUAGUUGGUCAAGAGCUAUUUAUUUUCCAUAUGUGGCGUUGCUUUCCUUUGUACCUCCUUAACCCAAUCCUAAAUCCCAGCCGUUCUGCUAACUUCCCUCAGACCGACAUUUGGCUGAGAUGCCUGAUGUGGCCGGAUCACUUCCACCCAUCUAAAAACAGUGGCUCAGGGUUUGCUGUUCUGUUCAGGGGAAAUCAAAGCAGCACCUGCCAGCUGGGCCGGUAUUCAUUGUACGAGCAAGGAGCCUUCCCUCCUUCCCUCCCUCAUGACCCUCGUCCCUUUAUUUCCUGUACAAACAGAGUCCGCAGGGAGCAGUCGAGGAGUACCUGAGCACGCUGCAAGAAGCGCUGGUGCCAAAGCCUCCCGCUAACGGUGUGCCCAACGUGUGAAAACGGGAGGGAUGCUCAACGAACCCGAUGAGAGGAGAACUAAAAAGAAAAAAAGAAAUAAAACCUAAGUGCAACCCAUUUGCAGUUUGUCUGGAAAACGCUGGAUGUAAAAAUAACCCCCAAAAAUUAAUGAAAUCCAAUUAUAGUCAAGUUGACUCCCAUGAUAGGAGUUUAUUUAAUAAGAAGUACUGCUCGCGCCCCCUUUCUCCCUCCUUUUUCUCCUCCCUCAGUAUCUUUGUGCCUAUUUGACUAGCAGAAAGCAGGCAAAUUGGGUUCGGGAGCAUUCAUCUAUGAUACUUUGAGAAAAUUAAAUGUUGAUUAACUCCUGUGUUCACGGCUUCCUCUAGUGCGAGGAGGCGAUAAGGUUAUCGUACCAAAUGCGCCUGAGCCGAGCGUGUAACGCCGGAGGAACAGCACCUUCUUGUUACCAAAACAGACUCCGAAGAGUUUGUGAACUCAUUUGACCAUCAAGAGAUGGAAAAUUUUCAACCAAAUGGUGGCAGUGGUUUCCCCCCAGCUCACACCCCGCCAGCAGGAAUGAUCAAGUUUUGGCAGCGUCAGUGCUGUUUGUCGUGUAUUUAAGGACUUCCAGCCUUCUCCUCCUUAUGCAAGAUCUUUUCAAUGAAGAAUUCUGGUUUGACAAUGUGGAAAAGCACUAAAGAGCCAAAAAAAAGUCCCUUUUUUUCCUCAUCAGGCGGUGGAAAGCUUGCAUCUCUGAAAGGAUUUCUGGUCUUUAUAGCAGUGGGCUCCUGGGCUAUUGCACUUCCUCCUGCCACGACGGUUUGUUCUUUUAACAGAAAAGGUUUAGUAUGUUACCGGUGGGCUGGAAAAUCAAUGGCACGAGAUCAAUGAUCAUUCUGCUGCCGGGUAAUACUUACCCGUGUGAGUGAGCGAGUGACCCGCUGCUGUCCUGCACAAAUAACCCGUGGCAGGCAAACGCUGGAGUUUGGAAAGUUGCAUUUGGCUUUGUGCUUUUCGCCAUUCGCUGACCGGUGGAAAUGGGCUCACCCCAACGUGGAGUGAGAGCAGCAGCCUGCAACACUGGGGCUCCUCGCCUUAUUGAUGGAGAAAAGAGUUUUUAGCAUGCAUGCCCCUGUCUCUGCUCAGGACUGCGCCCGAAACACUUGUUAAUGCUGCAAAGAGGGGAAAAAAAAAAAAAGCAUCUCUCACAAAGUAUAAAAUGCAAGAUUUACCGUGUUAGGCAGCAGCUCCUGAUAAAUUGACUGGCAAAAUAUUUUCCGAGUUUGUGGAGAUUUGACAAAAUUAGCCAUUCCCUAAAGCCAGUUGUGAGCGCAGAGCAUUUCUGCUUUCACACACGGUUUUGGGAGGCAAAACAGAGCAAUUCCUGUACAGGCAGCUGGGUUAUGAAAACUGACAGAGCAUUGCUUGUGUGGAGAGGGUUUAAAUGAUGCACGAGGGACUGGUUAGCGUGUGAUAUGCAAAUGCAAAUCUAUCCUUGAGGCACCGCGGCUACAAAACGGCUCACAAUAAUGCUCAUUUAUCGGAAAGCCGUUUCGUACUGCGGAUUCCUCCCUCCCAGAGCAGCAGGGCUCCUUUCCCGGAGUGCCUUGGUCCAUGGCGUGGGCUUUGCUUGCCUUUGCUGAAAAAAAAUGGUUAUAGGUCACUGCGUACCCCUGAGGAUCUCAGCAACGAUUUCGGUGUAGUUACAGCAAUGGACGUGUUCAUGGCCAGCCUGUCCUGUCUGAAGUUACCAGCCAGUGUGUGAAUUCGGGAUGUUUGCCGUGCCUGCCGCUGGUUGCAGGGGGAUAUUGCAAUGGAAACAACCACGGCUGGCAAGGCAAUGUCAAGAUUUCCACCGUGGAGUAAGUGGAAUCCAGCAAACUUUUCCUGCACUUUACAUAAGUCUUUUUCCUUUUUUUUUUUUUCAGCUUUAGUAGAAGCGCCUCGGAAAUGGCUUGCGUUAUUCCGUGUAAAUUACUGGAGUGCAGCUGCGGGGAGUGCUAAGACUCUCGUUUUCAAGUUCCUGGACAGAUUUUAAGUGACAACAGAACUCAAUUCACAUCCGAAGGGCUCCCGUUGCUCGCUGCAAGAAACGAUAUCAGACGUGGCACGUUGUCUGCCUGCUACCUGGCUGAAGCACUUCAGUGGCUGAGUGGGAAGAUUCAUUCUGACAUUCAGGCAAGCCAUCGGUGCUGUGACCCCAGCUCAGGGCGGCUUACAACACAAGAUUGCCCCUCUUCUAUUAGGCUACGGGGCGCCAUCCAAACUGUCUCGAGUCACACCAGCAAUAUUGUUUCCUAAGCACAAUGGAAAGUUUUGUUCAGGCUUGUUAUUCGGAAGAAAACCAACUCCAUUAAACACAGAUGAGCGUGUUGACGUAAAGUGACGCGGCAGCGAAAGUUUUUAGUUUUAUUAUUUUUAAGAGAGAACUUUCCAAGCUCUUUCUUCUUUCUCAGGAAGACGAGGGAGCAGCUGAAUGCAGCAGGUCAGGAAUGGCGUUUCCUAACUGCUUUCGGGGUGAAAUUGUAAUGAGUGAUGUUUAAAGACUCCAGGAUAUUUUCACAGAACCACAUAAUAGGUGAGGUCGGAUGAGACCUCCAGGGACUGUCUAGCCCGAUCCCUUUUGAGGCCUGCAUUUGUCACUUUUUAAUUGCAUAUUAAAAAUGAAGAAAUGGCAGGAGCGGAACGUUAAAGAGUCCUGUUCCUCAUUAAAACGGGACAGCUAAUGCAUAUACGGUGUGCUCGCUGACAGCCAUUAACUAAUCAACAAAUCAUCAUCCGGGGUAGCACCAUCACUCUCACAGAUGAGCGGUGACUGCGCGGGGACAGCGGCAGCAGCUCGCCCAGCAGCACGAGCCCGUUGUGAAUAUCCAUCACGGCUCAAAGGGCUCCAAGCCAAGGGUCUUUGAGGAUCUGUAAUUGGUGCCAGCAGUGCGUUCAUUGCCAAUAAUACCUAAAGGAAAGGGUGUGCUUCUGGAGUGCCUCCUGUCCUAGGGGUACUCACGGCUGUGGGCGGCGGAUUCUGCUCCUGUGAGAUGUUGAACUUCGUGUCCCGUUUCACAGCUGGGGAUAAAGGCCUCAGGAGUUGCUAUAAGCAAUGCCCCCAAGGCCACCAGGCAAGCCGUGGCAAAACCCAGAGCUCCUCUCUGCUCGACCCUGCUCCUGCGAUACGGCACAAGGUCACCCUCUGCAACAAACCAAAACCUUCCCCUGCUUCUUCCCAAGGACACCAGGACUGAAGGACACAAAAAUGCAGAGCCCGGGGUAUUUUGAAGAUGGUUUCACUAAAAAUAUCUCCCUUCCCAGCCUUACAUUUAAAAUGCUGUAAUUUGCCAAAUGGGAAUCCAGGCUCAUUUCUUCAUAUCUGCGAUGCCGAGAUCAUUUCCAUGUCUGCCUUUCCCUAAAUAGGAACUCAAAACUUGCGGUGGCUCACAAAGACUGCCUGUUUCUGCUUUGCCCAGUCCCGAG